rnacentral:rRNA from 1 species
CAGCAGCCGCGGGAAAACGAAGGGGGCUAGCGUUGCUCGGAAUGACUGGGCGUAAAGGGCGCGUAGGCGGUUUGUCGAGUUAGAUGUGAAAUUCCCGGGCUUAACCUGGGGACUGCAUUUGAUACUGGCGGGCUUGAGUGUGGAAGAGGGUCGUGGAAUUCCCAGUGUAGAGGUGAAAUUCGUAGAUAUUGGGAAGAACACCGGUGGCGAAGGCGGCGACCUGGUCCAUAACUGACGCUGAGGCGCGAAAGCGUGGGGAGCAAACAGGAUUAGAGACCCCAGUAGUCCCUGUCUCUUAUAC